rnacentral:rRNA from 1 species
GUGUUUCACCUAAACACGGAGGUUACGCACCCAGAAGUCCGGUCGUCUUACUAGUUGGUAUACGAGGCCGCCUUCGAUCGGUUUUCCGCGGAUCGUGUCCAUUUCGCAACAGCUGGCCUUGUUGGGGACUGGAACUGACGUUGCCGUUGUUGAGUAGCUCUUGCGGUAUGUUUCGUCUACUACCAUUUUGCUGGACUGUUUUUCCGUUCCCGUAUAGAUCCCCCACUUACUAGACGCACGCCUUCUUCUUAGUACACUUAUUAUAGUCAAACAGGAUCAAUAGACAGUUCAUGCUAUAAGGCACCAGGUUGUUUGGAGAUAUGGAUGUACACCUAACAUAUCGAACACUUUCACCAGGACAUCUGUUCAUCAUAAAGUAAGCAAGUACGUACAAGAAGCAAAUAUAGAU